CUCGGGGGCCUCAGCAACGUUCAGCCAGUUCACAAUUGGCCGUUGUCCCGUCAACUGCUUCCUCCUCCGUUGCAAAUUUAUACGCGCGCACACCAAAAGUGUGUCUUUAGCGAUCGAUUAGUCACAUUGUAUAUGUGGUUUAUAAUACCAUUUGGUCAUCAAUUUCUCACUCGAUCUCUCUUCGGGCAUGGCGAGAAAAUCGUGAAGGUGUGGAGAUUGUUUGGUAUUAACAAUGUGGAGAUAAUAGUGCACGGUUUUGGCAUUUUCCGACACAAUUCCACAUCAAAUUCCCUUCUGUUUUUUUUGCGUGUAUUACAUUUUACAAAAAUAUUCCAUUGUGAUUGGUGGAUGUGUUGCAUCAAUUUUCUCUCUCAGUGAUUUAUUCACGAACAAAAUAAUUUAUAGAUCACAAAAAAAAUUCUCUAAUUCAUUGAUGAAAAUAAAUCUUAAAGUGUUUUAAAGGAAAAGUUUAAACAGAUUAUUGUCUGUUAAAUUUAUUUACAAUAGAUAAAAUAAAUUGUGAUCUUUUUUGUGAAAUAAUUAGAGCUUUGAAAGGAAGCAAAAGAAUAAUAAUUAUAAAUAUUAUAAAAGAUUGUGAAGAAUUCUUUUAUAAAAUAAGUACAGAGAUAAAAUACGUUAUACACACAGAGAUAAUUAAGUGAAAAUUGAGUUUGUGCAUUUGUGCAGCAGCAUUAGAAUUUGCAGCAUGAAAGAAAAUUUAUGAUCCUCCUCAUGUGAAAGUCUCAACAAUUUGGAUAAUUUCCGCAUUAAUGUGGUUAUACCUUUUGAAUAAAAUUGUGAGCAUAAUUAGGAAAUUCAUUGAGUGCACGAAUUGGUGGUGUGCGGAGGUAAAAGAUGAAUUUACACAGAGAUGAAGAAAAAAAUCUCACCCACAGACAAUCUGCGAGCAAGGUGGCAGAAAAGCGUGAAGAUAGUCAGAAAAAAAAUGAUGUCAUCCAUGUUCCAUUGAUGGGAACAUUGGCAACGACAUCAUCAAGGGGCAUGGCAGAUGAGAGUCCAACAAAUGUGAUUGAUUUAAAUAAGAAUAGGAUACGCUACAGACGACGAUGUCCAAAAAUUCUACAGCGUCCUUUUAGCUUGCCAAGUGCAAUUGGUAAUUUCCUCAAACGCCCAUUUGGUGGGGCAACAACCAGUCACGAUGAUGGUGAUGUGAAAGAGGCGGAUGCGCCCACGUCGUCACAGAAGGAAAUCACCAUGGAUAUUGCUCUCAUUAAGAAGCUGGAAGAUGAAAUUUACAAGAGAACCGAGACGCGUGAGGUGCACAAUCAUGCAGAAACUUGCAGACCAUGCCGAAGGAAACAAACACAAGCACCAGGAGAUCGAGAUAUUACCUUCUUAGAUGAUACGAGUACCUUUAGGAGCCCCUAUCAACCACUUUUUCUCAUUGACAAUAAAAAAUUAGCACCAAUUCUCAUGAAGACAGACACAUGCCGCCGUCCAGCGGUAGUGAAAGAGCCACAAUCCAUUAUAAUUGUGGAUAAUUCAAAAUUCUACCCAGUUCUCAUGAAAUAUGAAUUUCUGCAGAAUGAAGAGAAAUCCAGUGAAAGUGGUGUAUUUAUAGCUGAUGGCCCAUUGGGUUUCCCAUCUGGAGGAGACGGUCUCUUUAAAAAUAGAUGCGACAGUUCACAGGAAAAUCCACUGAGAACUAUAAGUGGUACAGACACAAAAUCAUCGCCCAACGAGUUGUGUUGUGGUACAAAGUGUCCAUCAACUCAUCAUCCAUGUGCUCCUUCCACGAAUUGUGGGGAAAAUGGAGCUACUGCAUUGCAUGCAGUACAAUGUCAGAAUAGGAGGUAUAAUUUCAUGGAAGCUGAAGAUGCGUCCCCAAAGGACCGAGUAUCAAAAUUACGGAGAUUUCUCCUGCAGAGGCGUAGUUUAAAUUUAUCACUGAAGAAGACUAAAUGUCUGGCAAACAAUGGAGAACGCAAGAGUAUCAUCAAGCCCAUAAGAGACAGUCCGCAUCAAGCGCAUCAGGCGCAUCAGUGUGCGGCAAGGAGUAUGUUUAGUGAUGCAAAUAUUGAGCUAAACACACUCAAUGUCAUCAGCAAACUACAUAAAAGUUUGCACAUAUUCCACGGAUUGCACGAGGGGGAGAUGAAUUCAAAACAAAGAGGUGAUAAAUUUAAAUUGUCGACACUGAAGCGAAUACUGGGUAUCUACAUGGAUUUCUUUUAUCCACAACAAUGCAAUAUGCGUACAACGGAGUACUUUCAAUAUGGUUCAUCAGAAUUAUGCCAUUUGUCGUCGCGCUCAAAGAGUCUCGACGACAUACACCAUUUAGACGUGCUAAAUAAAUUGUCAGCCACAUCAUCAACGCCAUCAAUUGACCCUAUAAAUCUCAAUGAUGGAAUUAGCAAAUCACCACGCGGAUGGUGGAGUCAAGGAAAUUUGGAGGAAAUUGAGAAAAUACAUCACAAUGUUGCUUUAGUGAUACACCACCACAGAGUACCCGAAAGAUUUUCCAUCAUUGCGGAAAAUGCUGAAAAACCAAUCAAUAAGGAAAAUCAGUUGAUCUGCGAUUCCGGGAGAAAUCAGCAGCAAAAAGGUGGAGUUAAAUUGCGAGCACGAUCAUCAUUUCGACGUCUCAAGAGACACAGCGUGGGUAGUGCUUCAGAUGUUGUGGUCAACACAUGGGUCUAUCGUAGAAGCUAUGACGGUGGCUGGAAUGGUGGGAUAGGUGAGCCCCCAAAUCGGGGGCGAGGCCCUCAAUCACCAAUUAGGCAUUCGUACAGCAAUAAAAGUGAAUCGAGCGUCUGCCACAGGACAUCUAGUGCUGGUGCGGCAGAUUUGAAAAAGUACCAAAGUGGCAACAACGUGGUGGUAGUUGCGGGAAAAUAUAGGAAAAUGGGGGAUUCUGGUGCGCCACGUUCACCCCACUUUAGUCCUGCAAGGAAUGCACAACCCCAGUCAGAUGUUCAGACUCUUCAUGUUCACCUGCCAAAUCAUGGCUUUCGCAUGAUACGUUUCGAUGAGGCGUCCGAUGUGCGAGAGAUCAUCAACAUGAUUGUGGGGUCGAUGACGCCAAGUCAGACAGCCCGGCCGCAGUGCUAUGCACUCCGUUUGCGCCACAUGCUGACCAAAGAGGUACUCUGGAUGCCACCAGAUACAUCGAUGACUGAAGUAAUGGCACACAUUUCCAAUCCCUCGUGCGCAAAUCCCGAUUGUCCCAAUGUCGAUCGGAGUACAAUGGCGAAGAAGCAGCAAAAGACCAAUAAUAUCACGGGGCAUGCAAAUAGUGUGUGGAAAGCCGAACUGAGGGUACGAUAUAUUCCAAAGAAUUUGAAGGAACUCUAUGAGCAAGAUCGCACCACGUGCCACUUUUACUUUGAUCAAGUUAAACAGGAUUACAUACAGUCAAAUAUUCCAAAUAUUGAUCAGGACAUUGCGGUGCAAUUGUGCUGUCUAGGUUUAAGGCAUUACUUCAAAGACACUAAUCAGGUAACAGAUAAGAAACAUCAUGUCGAUUACAUUGAGAAGGAGAAGGGAUUUGGAAAUUUUAUACCAAAAUCUGUGAUAGAUACGAUAAAGCAGAAGAAUUUGAAGAAAUUAAUUCAGAGUGGCUACAAGAAGGUCCACAAUUACACGGAAAUGGAGUAUAUGAUGAAAUUCUUUGAUCUUCUGCGGACUCAGUAUAACUUUGAGCAAGAACAAUUUAUCGUAACACUGGGUUCGGGUUGGAAUAUACCCAUUGACCUUAUAAUUGGGCCCCACGUUGGAAUCUCCUAUUUAGCCCAUUCACAGGCAAAACUCACAAAAGUUGCGGACUUUGAAGACAUUGAGAGAAUAACAACGAGUGUCCUAAUGUCGGGAUCAUCAUCAGGGAGGGAUAUGAAUACCAGUCAAAGUGGUGGAAGUAAUUCCGAUGCAUCAGUUUGUUCACAAAAAUUCCCCAAUAAUGGCACGGGAAGUGUAACAAAUAGUCCUGUACCGAAUAAGAAAAUAUCCUCAUCGGGUUCAGGCGAGAAGAAAGCCUCCAUAUCCAAUUCGUCGUGUAGUUGUGCUGACAUUAAGACUCAACUCAAGAUUAAAGUCACGGAAAAUAUUGAUGAUCUUGCAAUUACAUGCAAUGGGAUUAAGACUGCUGAAAGUAUUGCAGACUUGGUAGAUGGAUACUGCAAGCUUUUUACGGAUUCUGAUGUAUCCUUGUGGGAUCGUUCAGUUCACGCAAAAGGCACUCCGUCGAGCAGUGCGACGAAUUCAUUGGAGAAAAAUAGAAAAUUGGAGACGGAUCAUCAAUCACCGGUGACGACAACACAGGUGGCCAUUGAGAAUGAUGCGCAGAAUGAUUCUCCAGAGAUGCCAAAUAUUCCCGCAAAGAUGAUAAAUUCAGCUGAAGGUGGAAAUUUGCCAACAUUGAGUGAGGAUUACGCGGAAAUUGGUCUUGGUGAAGAGGAGGGAGACUACUCAACUCCUGCUGCUCGAAAUUAUGAGUUGGAUCGGAGUCAAAUAGUUCUCAAUGAAAUCAUUGGUGUGGGGCAAUUUGGAGAUGUUCACAUUGGGACGUGCAAAAUAAAGCCCACGCGACCAACGUCGAAGGGCAAACUAAAAGCAACAACCAAAGAUGAAUCACAAAAUGAGGCGACCUCGAGUGAUGCGGAAAAGGGGUUUGAAAAGAUGGGACUUAUUCAUGUUGCUGUUAAAACAUGCAAAGCCGAUGCUGACUUGAAGACUGCAGAAAAAUUCCUCGAGGAAGCAUAUAUUAUGCAAAAAUUUGAACACCCCCACAUAAUCCGACUCAUUGGGAUAUGCAGUAAUCCACCAAUUUGGAUUGUGAUGGAAUUAGCGAGACUUGGGGAGCUUAGAGCUUAUUUGAAGAAACAUUCAAACAAGCUGAAACUUGGCAGUCUUCUUCUCUACUGCUAUCAACUUUCAACAGCACUCAGUUACUUAGAAUCGAAGAAAUUUGUCCAUCGAGAUAUUGCCGCGAGGAAUGUUCUUGUCAGCUCACCCACUUGUAUCAAGUUGGCCGACUUUGGUCUCUCUCGGUGGGUUGAGGAUCAAUCCUACUAUCAUUCGAGCAAAGGGAUGCUGCCCAUUAAGUGGAUGGCACCGGAAUCAAUAAACUUCAGGCGCUUCACGACGGCUAGUGAUGUGUGGAUGUUUGGUGUUUGCACAUGGGAAAUUCUCAUGUUGGGCGUUAAACCAUUCCAAGGGAUUAAGAAUAGUGAUGUAAUUGGGAAGCUUGAGAAUCGCGAACGACUGCCAUUGCCCAACAAUUGUCCCCCACGGCUCUACUCUCUCAUGUCACAGUGUUGGGCCUAUGAGCCCAGCAAGAGGCCUGACUUUAAGACUAUCAAAGAAACUCUCUAUGAAAUUCUCAUGGAAGAACGUUUGAGUGAUUGUGAGACAAUGAGGCGGGAGAAUAGGAGAGUAGCCGCUAUGUCUUGGGGUGCUGGUGAUGACAAUCCACCCCCAAAACCAGCACGAGCUCCCCUCGUUGAUGCUGGAAGUUUGGGUACGGAGGCACCCCAAAUGGCACCACAGACGUACAUAAUAGCUCAGAAUCCAGCCGUCCUGGCGCAUUUGAUGCGUGAGAAUGAGGCACGGAGCCUCAAUCCAUCAGCUUACACAACACCAGCUUCGGUAUUUAAUACAUUAGCUGUAGAUUUUGAUACGGAGCAUGUUGAUGAGGCAAGUGUUGAGCCGUGUGAUGUGACAUUGAAGACAAUCAAAUUGCCGGCGAGUGAUUUGUUGAAAUUGGAUCCAAUGGUGGGUGAGCGUGUGUCAAGUGGGGCAUGUAUGGUGAAAUCAGGGCGUUCCGAUGAUGCAGAUUUGGUCAAUUCACAAGGUAUUGAGGGUCUCUGUAAUUCCGCCACGUCCUCCAAUAGCAAUACCCUGGAACGGUAUGAUCUACCACAGGAUGCUAUUAGUGACAAUUCCAUUCCACAUCCCCCUGAGUAUCCAAUCCCGUGUGAAAUUAUCAAUGCUCUCACCCAGCAAACACAUUCAAUUGAUCCCAUGUACAAGGCACUGCAGAAACCUCCGGAUGGGCAACAGGUGGCUGAUAAGCCACCACUACAGCCGGUAAUUCAGUACAUUUCUAGUCAGCAGCAACCACCACAGGUUGUACACUAUCCAAAUCACGGAACUCCCACGCAUACAGCAUCCUACAUCCAACCGGCCAAUUACUACGGCGAGCAUCAGCAGUACCUUGUGCAGAGCUUCCCACAGGGUGGAAGUCCCGCUGCUGGGACAUUCGUCUAUCCAGUUCUUAGUCCACAGAUGAUGGCCAUGCCACCGGGACACUAUCCCCAAGCAUAUGCUGUACACUACGGUGCACCCGAUGGGGUGGAAAGUGGUGAAAAAUGUCGGAGUUUCGAGAGGAAUCCUCCAUAUCCAGGUCGUGUGAGCUCCCUCGAACGUACCGUGCCGAAUGUAGCGGCUAAACCAUCGCGUUCAACAUCACUAACACGCCAGCUGAGCGGCAGUCAGGAUGCUUUUGCAGCUGCUCGAUCAGGAAGUCUCGAGCGGAGUGGUCUUCCACCCCAGGGCUACGGUAGUCGCAACAAUAGCCUCGAGAGAAGUCAAAAUGACACCCUUCGCACAACUGGCGGGAGUCUCGAGAGGAAUCAAUCAGCCGGGGCAUACGAUGCUGCCAAAGGGAGGAAUUUACGUGGUGGAAGUUUGGAGAGGAAUCAACAAGUUCUCACAGGGCCACGUGGGGGGAGCCUCGAAAGGAAUCCCGGCUAUGGGACACCGUACAAGAGCCCAAAACAACCCGAUCCGGAACCAUUCCAAGAGGAGAUUUACGAUUUUGGUGGGGCAAAUGUGAAGAGCUGUGCUGCAAUUGCACUGAAGAAGAGUAUAGCUAAAGGUCUCAUUCCGGCAGAGUAUCAGUACAAGAUAAAUUCAACAAUAUCCCCAGCUCCACCGCCAUAUCCUGGAUCACAGCAGCAGCAACAGCCGCAGCAGAAAUUCCAAUAUCCACCACAAGGAAUACAGCAGCGUAUGUGGAAUCAUCAAAUACCUCCCAUGAGUCCCAUUCAGCAGCAGCAGCAGCAGUUUCUUCAUCAAGGUUCUCCGGUAAUGCCCAAUUUGCAUCAACAGCAGCAAAUGCAGCAACAACAUCAAUUUCAACAACAACACCAACUUCCACAACAACAGCACCAACUGCAACAGCAACAGCUGCAAUUGCAUCAGCAAAAUUUGAAUUCUCAGAUUCAACUUCCGGAUGUAUCAGGACAUUUUGAAGCUAAACUGAGGCGACAGCAGAUGGAAAGUGAGGUUGAUUCAAAAUGGCUACACCAGGAAGAAACAAAUCUGAAGAAACGCUUGAGUUUAAUAACAACGGGAUCCGCUGAUGGUGAUACAAAUGGUGGUGCUGGUGCUUUCUCAGGUGCUAAUCGCUUCUCACCGCAAACUUCCGUCUCAUCUGGCCCUCAGAGUCUUCCUGUUGAAACAACAAGUGGUCUCGGGGAUUCUCGUCCACAUACGCCAGGCUCCAAUUCCGGUACUCUCCGCGCAACGGCAUCAUCAUCGUCGUCGUCGCUUGAUAAAUCCGGUGCAGCAGAUGUGCGGAAGACUCUUGCCCUCGAUCGAACCAAUGAUGCCGUCUACAGUGCUACAACGGGCGUCGUUAAGGCAAUAAUGGCGCUGAGUCAGGGCGUUGAACGAUCCGUUGCGGCUGAAUAUUUGGACUUGGUGAAGAAUAUUGGGAUUGAGUUGAGGGUGCUCCUGGGAUCGGUUGAUCAAGUUUCAACACAAUUUCCCGCACAAGCUCACAGGGAAGUGGAAAUGGCCCACAAAGUUCUGUCGAAGGAUAUGUUUGAGCUAGUUUCCUCCAUGCGAUUAGCUCAGCAGUAUAGCGACACAACGUUGGACGUUGAAUACAAAAAGAGUAUGCUUGCUGCUGCCCAUGUCCUGGCGAUGGAUGCAAAAAAUCUGCUGGAUGUUGUGGAUUCAAUUCGUGUUCGAUACCAAAUGUGGUUCACAGACAAGAACCAAAUUUCACCCAAAAAUCCGUCCAAUUCAACUAGUCUCUCUUCACCUGUAUCAAUUGGUGGUGGUGCAACAGCAACAGCUGUCACAGAGGAGACGUACCAGAAUGCAGCAUCUGUUAUGGAGCAACAGAAUAUGUAUUCGAAUCAACAGACGGGCAUUUAUGACAAUGAAUGCGUUAUAAAUCAUCAAUUGAAGCAUUUGGAGUUGGGACGGGAGGCGGCAGCAUGUGGGACACCGUCAAAGCCAGCAAUUGCAGCCAAACCACCCAAUCUCACGUCAAAACUCAAAUCAAAUCUCCUCAUGAAGGGUCUAAGUUCCCAAGGAGGUGGUACGGAAUGCAUUAGUUCCACUGAUGAACCUUUAAAAAUUAUCGAAGAUCCAAGUGAUUUAUACAGCAAUGCAGGCAUUGCAUCUUCUAGCACGAAACUUCCCGACAAUACUCCACACGUCCAAGAAAAUUCACACAAUCAAGUUAAUCACUAAACUUAAACUAAAAAAAAACAAAAGAGUUCCAGUGAAAAAUAAUUCAGUCUACAACUUCUAUAGCGGACCUGAGAGUUCAGUAGUUUGAGCAGUUAUCUCAAUGAGCUACUCCUAACUUCCAAAUCUAUGCGAUAUUUAUUGUUUGGGUGCUCUCAAUGGACAUUUCCAGGUCAAAUUAUGACCCCAUGAAUAUGAAAGGGUUAAUUGCAAUCCUUCCUAAAAAUGUUUUCUGAACAAAAAAAAACCGAUUGUAUACGAAUUUUAAAAGUCUAAUGAUUUGAUUUGAAUGAAAUAUGGAUGUCCCUUUUUCUCAAGUUAAUCUACAUAGCUUUAUUUAAAGUCUAAACUAUAUAUUUUCCUUCUCAUUGUGCUAAUUUAAUCACUAUGAGCGUCUACAAUGCAAGAAUUAUUUGUUUUAUGAGAAGUUAGUAUGAAAAAUACGCAAAGGAGCCUCUUCAAUGGUUUUCAAAAGAUGUUUCAAAAGUCGUAGAUGAAACAUUAACGCAAACGUUUCAUUCAUUCAAAGGGACAAAAAACAUAACUGUAACGUCAUUUAUUUUUAUUUUUGAGUGUUUCCAGUGGAUACCAGUGGAAAAUGUUAAUUGCUUUUUAACGAUUUCUGAUUUUUUUUAUCCUCAACAAAAUUAAUAAUGUCCCCUCGCAUGACGAAUUAUCUCAUAUACAAAAAUGAGUAGACUCCUUUCAUUAACAGAGAAAUCAUCCAGAAAUCAUUGACUUAUUAAACCUUGAAGAGGUACCUUUUUAGAAUGAAAAAUUAAAUAAAAUAUCAACUAAUUCAAAUAAAAAAAUUGCUGUAGUUGGACAUAAUGUUUAUUGUAAUUUGUAUAUUAUUAAAGUCUAUUAGCAUAAAUUAUAAUACCUACACAUAUAACUACUGCAUACAUAUAUUGUAAUAACGCCUCUUAAGCAUCAAUGUGGUUAGAAUAAGAAUGUUGUUAUAUGUGAAUUUAACACAUCAUUUUGAGCAAAUAGAAAAAAUAUUUAAACAAAAAAAUCUACUCUAUCCCAUAGAGAAUUUCCUCCAAAAGCAUUUCAUUCGUCUUAGUAUUUAUUAUAUUUUUAAUUUGAAUGUGUUUUUUAAAGGAUAAUACAAUUUAUCUUACUAGUCACCGUGAAUGGAGAAAAACUAAAUAAAACAUUCUCGAAUUCAAUACGAUAUUUUUUUUAAUUUAAAACAUUCAAAUUCAAAACAAAAAAAAUAUCUGGUAUGAAAAUAUUUAAAGAAAGGGAAACUAAAUCAAAAGAAAAUAAUGUUGGAAAAUAAAAGAAAGUUUAAAAUUAAUUUCAAACUGAUUUAAUGUGAAAGAAUGCUUGCGCUUAUGAUUUUUUUUUAUAAAUAAAAAAUAAACAUAAAGUGACAUUAGAAUAAAGAAAAAUAUUAAAACGACAUAAUAUAGUGAGAAUUAUUAAAAAAAAAAAAAAAGAAUAGUCAGCUCAAAGUGUUUUUGAAGAAAUUGAGCCUCACUUAUGUAAGCAAAACGUAAAAAAAAAAUAAAAACAAUAAAAGUUGGAAAAUUUCCUCAAAUUCUUACAUUUUUAGAAUUCAAAAUAUGUAACUAAUUCUACUCUGAUGAGAAAAAUUGCUCUUAAAGUCAGCUUAUAAAAGAAAAUUCAUUGCAAAGUGUGUAAAUUUAUAUUAAGUAGAUGCACCCGUUUAUUGCAUACUUGAACAUUUAAUGAGUAAAAAGAAAGAAAGAAAGAUAUCUUAAUCAUAAAAGAAAGUAACUUUAAUAAUUUUUUGCAUUUUUGUAAGUGUGUAAUAGCAAUUUUUGAUACCGCUACUUGAUGAAAAAAUAAUAAAAAAAACACAAUACGAACAGAAGAAACGAUGAAACAAUAAGUAAAUAGUAAGGAAAAUUGCAUUAAAAAAUCCUUUCCAUGAAACGUAAUAAAGAAAAAAAAGAAUCCUUUGUCAGAGAACAAUAAAUUGCGAUACAUAUAGUUGUAAUAAUGGAGAUUAUAAUUUUCACUUGUGAACAUUUUUCUAAUGUAAAAUUGCAUUAUAUAUUUUUAAUUUUAUUUAAAUUUUGCUAAACUUGUGUAAGAUUUUGUAAAAAAAAAUUAAGUGAAAAAGGAGAAAAAAUAAUGAAAAAAAAAUGUAGAAAUCAUUUUGAUCAAGAAAGUAUCCUGUAUCAUUGCAUUAACUGAGUUUCAAUAUUGUAGAAUUUAUUUAUCGAUAAAGAACAAGUAAAAAUCAUAUUACAAAAAAAA